UACGUAGGGGGGCAAGCGUUGUCCGGAAUUAUUGGGCGUAAAGCGCACGUAGGCGGAUCGAUCAGUCAGGGGGUGAAAUCCCAGAGCUCAACUCUGGAACUGCCUUUGAUACUGUCGAUCUAGAGUAUGGAAGAGGUGAGUGGAAUUCCGAGUGUAGAGGUGAAAUUCGUAGAUAUUCGGAGGAACACCAGUGGCGAAGGCGGCUCACUGGUCCAUUACUGACGCUGAGGUGCGAAAGCGUGGGGAGCAAACAGG
rnacentral:rRNA from 1 species